GCCCGCGCCGCGGGUCACGUGGGCUCCUGCGGCCCGGCGGCCGAGCCGGCCUGCCGCAGGGCCGGGGGCGGAGGCCGGUGCUGCCCUUUGGCGGGGAGCGCCACCGGCCCGUGGAAAGGGCACAACCCCCACGCCGCGCUUAGGGGCUCCCUCCCGCGAAAGGUCCCAGAGGACAGGACUGCUUGUUCUCCUGGUGGGCUGUGCAGAGCGCGGCGUGAGUCGCUGUUCAGGCCGACCCGGCCGGGCCUUCCCGCGCUUCCCACGCCCCGCCCACCUCCCCUCUCCUUGCCCUGGAUAAGAAUUCCCUGCAGGGAACCGGCCCCACGUAGUGUGGCCCCCGGGAGCACGGCUAAUCCCUCAUCUUCGUCCGCUUUUCAGGGACAAGGAACGCGGAAGUUCUUUCUGUUUAGCCUGUAAGGCAAGAGCGCAGAAUCAACCUCGGGUCCCUCAAUUGACAAUCUGGCAUCCGGCAACUCCCUGUCCCGAACCGCCCUUGCUCCUCGCUUGACCUCACUCUGGUGUCCCCUCCCUCUCACGCCAUUUCCUCUGCCUCCAUUAACUGCUCUACAUUGCAAAGGGAGAGCAAAGGGGCUCUUUGAUUUGACCUUGAAUUUACCUUGCCAGGAUCCUUUUGAGUCCCGCGCGUUUCAGGAGCUUUUCAAACUUUGAAUGAAGACCCACCGUGAGAAAUAGUUUACGACUCCAGGGAGAGAAAUGUGUGCCGAUACCUCCCCCAAAAAUUGAGGUCUAACAGGUGAAUGGGGUCUGUAGGGACCAGAAGGAAUUGAUGAGUGCUGUAAGGGCCCCAGCUGAAAAGAAACGGGUAAAAAUUUUAAAACUGUCAUGGGAUAUUAGACACUCCCACAGCUUGUAGUGUUUGGUACUCUGGGGAAGGCGGGGAGGCAGGUGGGUGGGGUUUAAAACUGACAGUGUUGUUCCCACGUCUAGAGGGGGAAAGGGAGUGGGAGAUACAGGCUUCCAGUUACGGAAUGAAUAAGUCAUGGGAAUGAAAGGCACAGCACAGGGAAUACAGUCCGUGGUGUUGUAAGAGUGUUGUCUCGUGACACAGGGUAGCUACCCUUGUGAUGAGCAUAGCAUAACGUAUAAACCUGUCGAAUCACUGGUUUACUCAUGUGAACUCAUGUAACAUUGUGUGUCAGCUGUACUAAAAAAAAAAAAAGAGAGAGAGAGAGAGAGAGAGAGCUCAUCUCACCUCAUUCCCAGUAACAUCUACUUCCCCUGAAGUGUUGGGUAGAAUUAACGGGAAGAUCCCCUUUUGUCCUGGGAGCUUUGCUAUUCGGUCAUAUGAGCAUUAGUUCCCCUGCUUUUUGUGCCCUUCUGCUCGUAGGCUGUUGGAGCCAAUGCUGUCUCACAGUAACAAAGUUGGAGUUAAAUUAGAAAAAAAAAAGUUAAAAAAAAUGGGUUUUCACGAUUAAUUUUGUCAAUACCAAAGUAUUGUUUACAAGUUUUCCUCUAAUCUAUCAUAAUAAUCAAAAACCAGAUUCGUUUGGCCACUGAUUACAUCGUUGCUUUGUUUCUGCAAUCUAUAGUCUUUUGGAAACCCUGAGGGACAGUUUUGUGUAAAUCUUCAUCUAGCUUAAAAGUUUCUGUUUUACCUACAGCUUUUCACUUAGCAAAAUCAACAGGCUCUGUCCGGCCUACUUUUCCCAUUCAUUCCCUUAGGUGACCUUCAUUUACAAGCAUGCGUAGAAGUUGAUAAAGGUCAGAAUUACCAGGUUUAUGGGUCUGAAUAACUAAAGCGAAUCCCCUAGCAAAUCCUAGAGGGUCUUCAAGGGCAUGGGGAAAGUCCUUGGCAGUAAGUAGUUCAUGGUCGUGCCUUGGUCCACGGAGUAUAAAUGACUGAUAAAGUCUUAGAGCGUCCUUCAUUGGGUUUAAGUUUAGAAGGAGUUCGGAUCGCUGGAGGGUCUAGAGGAACCUCCGGGUUGUUAUUAGAGAAUGGAAGUUCUGGGCAACUAGGAUCGCCAGGGGGAGAGCAGGAGGGAAAAGGUGGAAGACAAGCAGUGGGUGUAGCGUUUCUCAGAAGCUCCUUGAGCUUAGAUCCUCGCUGAGAGAGGUCAGAGUCAGCUUUAGAAAGUUUAGGUAAUUUCGUUCCUGAGGAAGCAGGUUUAGAAUCAUUUGAUUGGUCCGAGGCCUCCGAAUACGAAGGGAACUAUGCUUCUACUCAAGCUGCUUGGUUUUUUCUUUUUCCAGUUGUGCCCGCAAAUAAACUAAUUUUGGAAUCUCCAAAGAUCCCCGAGUGGCCACUGUAAUGACAAGUCACAGUGAUCCCACAAGACAGAAACUUACAAAAAAUGGACCUGUAACAGACACCCAGCUGGGUAUGCACCGGACAGACGAGAGUCACUCUGUAGUUCAGACAGACAGACAAAAGCCCACAUCGGAAAGACAGACACCCAAAACCUGGGCCUAAGCGUCAACUGAAAACAGGGAGGUUGGGGCAUUCGUGGCUCGCUCAGUCAAGUUAGAGCCCCAUGUCGGGUGGAGAGAUUACUUAAAAAAAAAUCAUGAUAAUCGUGAGGUUCAGAACUGAGAGGACUCACCGGCAGAACCCCGAACCGCCUGCUUAGGCAGGUACCAUGUUCAAAUCCAACGGCAGUCCCAGAAUCAGAAUGGUACAUCGCUUCAGAUCCCCCGCUGUUCUGAUACCAUUUAUGUUGACUGAGAAAAGGAGGCAAAACUGAAAAAGAAGAAAGGCCUUCGUUUGUGAUCUCAGACUUGCAAUUCGGGCACACAGAUUCCAGAGGCCUGAGAAGAGUGUCUUGCUCAUGUGGGGAAAGCAAGAGGCUUUUAUAGGAAAGAAGCAAGCGGUCAUUACAUGAUUUAGAUAAAGAAGAGAAAAAAACCCCUGCUAUUCGGGUGCUGACCCGUGGAGUCGCUUCUGAUUACUAUUGUUUUGAUUAUUAGUGCGAUGAAACAAAACUACAAGAAAGUAGUUAACUUUACUGCCCUCAUAUAAUCCGAAUGCCACUUACUCUGUUGAAAUUUUAUGAGCAAUUGCUUGUAAAAGAAUUGUCACCUCUUGUCCCGUUGGACAGUUCCUUAGCUGGAAAGCAAAAUGGAGCUUCAAAACCGAGUCCCUUCCGUCCAGAAACUUUAUACAAUUCUACACUUUUUAAAAGAUGCUGAUUUGAAAAUCACCAGAGUAAUUAUGCAAACCACUAGGCUAUCAAUUUCAAAGGCACUCUAUUGUCCCCCUCUCAUGUCUUUCCACCCUUUUCCCUAAUCUCUCCGUGUUCCGGAACAUCAUUUCUAUUUUUUUCCCCCUCUGGCCCUUACUCUACAACACACUCUCUUAUCCAUCUCUGUGUGUAUAGUUUAACCAUGUUUGCUCUGGAAGGAAAUUGUCCUGUACUCUGUGUGGACAUCACUCUGGUGUUCUAUGUGAUGCCUGCGUAUAGAAAUGCUGGACUUAAUAACUACUGGUAAACUGGCCUGCUUAGGAGAGGAGGGCAGAUGAAUCAGUAUUUCUGAAUUUCCUGGAAGAAGACACAGACAGGCAUUCAGGCAAAUGUAAAGGAAGUAGGCUAACUGGCCUCUGAAUACCAUGAAAGGCAUUAAUUAAAUGAUAUAAGGAUUUCCUUGAUUCUGGAAGGCAGUAAAAAGGAAGCCACCAAACCUACCAUAUCAAUCCAUUAAAAAACAAACAAACAAACAAAAGUGACCGGGGCACCUGGGUGGCUCAGUUGGUUAAGUGGCCAACUUUGGCUCAGGUCACAUGGUCCCACGGUUCGUGGGUUCCGAGCCGCACAUCGGGCUCUCUGCUGCCAGUACGGAACCCAUUUCGGGUCAUCUGUCCCCUUUUCUCUCUGCCCCUCUCCCGCUCACACGUUCUCUUUCUCCCUCCCAAAAAGAAAUAAACAUUAAAAAAAAAAGUGACUGACAUCGUUCUAACUUUCACACAGUUUUGACCCUCAGAUUCUCACAGGACAGGGUCACACACUUCUAAGCUCCCUCUUGGAGUUCAGGGAAGGUCAAAGGGAAGAGUCUUAAACAGAAGACCCUAGCGCAGUGUAUCUAAUCUCCACACCCUAAAUAUUUACUCUGAGCCUCCGAGUCCUGUUUCAUCGUAUCCAACUGGAAUGACCCCCAUUUCUCUGCUCUUUCUCAUCCCUUCAAGCCCUGGCUGCAGUCUGAAAACUCAAAUUUAUUCAAAGGUACAAACUAACCAAGAGAUACUCUGCUUUCAUUUUCCAUACUAUCCCUGAAGCAGAGUUGGAAAUAACAACGGGGCACGUGUGGUCCGGAGAGCAUGAAGUGACGCGUCAUGAGACUCGCCCGCCUUCUGUGGCAGAACCAGAACUAGAAUUUCUGUCUCCUGACAUCAAGCCCACUGCCCUUUUGUAGCCGUCUGAGGGAAGGGCAGCCAGGAAAAUAGAUAAAAACGAAGAAGGUAGGAUGCUGGUCCACCUCGAGCUCCCCGCGACCCAUUCCAGACCUGAAGGUAAAGCAGUGGGAGAAACACUGGAUUGGACAGCUAAGGAGCUCUUGGCCUUGAUCUUGGCCUUGCCAUUCAACACUUGAUCUUCCUGACCUGGAAUAACUAAUUGUCUCCCCUGGCUUCCCCUUGCUCAUCGGUCAAACAGGGAAAACGUCAUUGACAAGGCGUGAUGUGUGAAACCACUCUACAAGCGAAUGAUUUAAGUAGCUUGAGUUAUCUCAAGUUCAUCGUGAUGAUUUCGGGCUGGUAGGGCAAGAAAUCAACGUCAACUCCCAUUUGAAGAGACUCUUGGGGUUUCAAUUAUUCCCCCUCUGGAGUUUCCUGUUAAUUUACACAGAAUUUAUGUAAGUAGAAAGACUACAUUGCCGUAGAGAUUCUUUUUGGGGGGGGGGGAGGAGGAUCCAGUCAUGUUUCUUGGCCUUCUCAUAAUUGCCUUAUUUUUUCUAGUGUACUUGGAAAGCUAGCUCCUUAAUCUCUUCUCGCUAUUCGAACGAUGACUGGGAUAGGGACCGACAUGGACAUGGAAAGGAUAACAUGGAAAGUUACCGAAGGAAAGGAUUACAGUAAAUAGGUCAGGCAUUCCUUUAUUUUAUGGGACUGGGAUGAUUUAGGCAGAUAUAAGAAGUGAUUUGCCCAAGAUAGCAGAGGGAGUUAAAGACAGAUUAAGAACUUAAUACAGUUGAUUUAAAAAAGCCAAAUUAGGACGCUUCCUCACCCCCCAUGCAAACUGGAGAAUCCACUCACAUGCAUGUGAAUAAUCCAGGUGUAGCAACCUAAAAAUUAUGCAUCACUCUCUGCAGUGUUGCAAGUGUAAUAGAAUUAGGAUAUGGCGACGAUUCUCAAACUCUACCUAUAUCAGGACCACCUACAGGACUUGUUAAAACCCAGGAUGCUGGGCCCCAAUCCCAGAGUUUCUGGUUUAGUAGGUGAGGUCUGAUAAUUUGCAUUUCUAACACCCUCCCGGGUGACGUUGGCCAAUGGACCAUGAAUAUGCUGGAAUGUCUAUUUUUCUAGAACUUGGCGAAACUGUGGUAAGAGAAUCUUUUGACUUGUGACUUUUUUCUCCCAACUAUUAGUUCUUUGUUAACGAAUAAUCCACUUAGCAUACCGGUAGGGGCGCCUGGGUGGCUCAGUCGGUUGAGCAUCCGGCUCUUGAUGUUGGCUCCGGUCAUGAUUUCAAACCCCGUAUCAGGCUCUCGCUGGCAACGUGGAACCUGCUUGGGAUUCUCUCUCUUCCUCUCUCUGUGACCCUCCUCCGCGCUCUCUCUCUCUUAAAAUAAAUAAAUAAACAUUAAAACAGAAUACUGGUGGAGAAAGGCUUUAGGCAGACAUUCUCAGUUAUCAGCCUGUCGCCUAGGGCACUUGUUCCAGAUGCAGGUUCCUGCUACUUUCUCCCUCCCCACCCCCUCGGAAUGCAACAAGCGAGGCUCCUUGAUGCCUCGGUUUCGUCCUGAUCAUUAUUUUAGCACUAGGGGCUGGGUGUUCUAUAAGCAACUGCUGAGCGAGUGAAGGAAUGAAUUAAUCAAUCAACGGAAUCAUACCUUCUGGUAAUGAUGUCAACCGGGCAUUGCUUUUAUUGUUUUAAAGUUUUACUGCAGGCUUUGCCGCCAGAUACAAAAAGGCAUACAGCUGUCACAAGGAGGGCACUGCACACAAAGUCUCAGCUGUAAACACCACUUCAAAAUAUAAACUCGCUCUUUGGAAUACAUUGUGUCAAAGGCUUCCCAUAUGAAUACCGUUGUUAUAAAACGGCGACAUUUCCUUUGACAAGCAGACAAAACGCACCCGUUAUCUUACACACAUUUCCAUCUCCUUGUAGCAAUUCCCGUCUCUACCUGUGCUACUCUCAUCCACCCAUACAGGCACAGGCCACUUCUAUUCCUUCACAAGGGCGGAGGAGACUGGGCUUGGGCCGUGUGACUUGCAUGGCCAUCAGCAAACAUGGUGCGGAGACUUGAUAGGUGAUGUACAAAAGUGAGCCCUUCCUCCUUGGAACCCAGCUGCCAUGCUUUAAGAAAGCCAGUCUAACCGGCUAGCAGAUGAGAAACUACACACUCUCGCUGACCAACGCCAACUUCCGGAAGUGUGAAUGAAACCGUCUUGGAUGUUUCUAUUUCGGCCCCAGUAGAGCUCCCAUCUGUUUGCAGCCGCUGAAUGAGCGACCCAGGUGAAUGAAUGACCUUGGUCAAUAUCGCCUGGAGGAGGGAAACCACCCAGCCAAGCGCAGAUAGUACACAGAAUCGUGGCACAUAAUAAAUGGUUAUUGUUUGGA